rnacentral:rRNA from 1 species
CCCUUAGAUGUCCUGGGCCGCACGCGCGCUACACUGACAUGUUCAACAAGCCUCCUAGUUCGACAGGAUUUGGGAAAUCUUUGAACGCAUGUCGUGAUAGGGAUAGAUCAUUGCAAUUAUUGAUCUUGAACGAGGAAUUCCUAGUAAACGCGAGUCAUCAGCUCGCAUUGAUUACGUCCCUGCCCUUUGUACACACCGCCCGUCACACCUACCGAUUGAAUGUUUCGGUGAAGAUUCCGGAUAGGACUUUUUUGAUUUAUUUCAAUUCUGUCUUAAAAGCUAUCUAAACCUCAACAUUUAGAGGAAGGUGAAGUCGUAACA